UGACCUCAAAUCAGGUAGGAGUACCCGCUGAACUUAAGCAUAUCAAUAAGCGGAGGAAAAGAAACCAACCGGGAUUGCCUUAGUAACGGCGAGUGAAGCGGCAAAAGCUCAAAUUUGAAAUCUGGUACCUUCGGUGCCCGAGUUGUAAUUUGGAGAGGGCAACUUUGGGGCCGUUCCUUGUCUAUGUUCCUUGGAACAGGACGUCAUAGAGGGUGAGAAUCCCGUGUGGCGAGGAGUGCGGUUCUUUGUAAAGUGCCUUCGAAGAGUCGAGUUGUUUGGGAAUGCAGCUCUAAGUGGGUGGUAAAUUCCAUCUAAAGCUAAAUAUUGGCGAGAGACCGAUAGCGAACAAGUACAGUGAUGGAAAG
rnacentral:ncRNA from 1 species